UGGGAGCUCUCCCAUAUGGUCGACCUGCAGGCGGCCGCGAAUUCACUAGUGAUUUACCGCGGCUGCUGGCACGUAGUUAGCCGUGGCUUUCUGGUUAGGUACCGUCAAGGUACGAGCAGUUACUCUCGUACUUGUUCUUCCCUAACAACAGAGUUUUACGACCCGAAAGCCUUCAUCACUCACGCGGCGUUGCUCCGUCAGACUUUCGUCCAUUGCGGAAGAUUCCCUACUGCUGCCUCCCGUAGGAGUCUGGGCCGUAUCUCAGUCCCAAUCCGGCUGACCAUCCUCUCAGACCAGCUACAGAUCGACGGCUUGGUGAGCCUUUACCCCACCAACUACCUAAUCUGCCAUCGGCCGCUCCACUCGCGCAAGGCCUUGCGGUCCCCUGCUUUCAUCCGUAGAUCUUAUGCGGUAUUAGCACAGCUUUCGCUGCGUUAUCCCCCACGAUUGGGCACGUUCCGAUGUAUUACUCACCCGUUCGCCACUCGCCACCAGGAUUGCUCCCGUGCUGCCGUUCGACUUGCAUGUGUAAGGCAUGCCGCCAGCGUUCAAUCUGAGCCAUGAUCAAACUCUAAUCGAA
rnacentral:rRNA from 1 species